rnacentral:rRNA from 1 species
CAUUGUUGGAGAGUUUGAUCCUGGCUCAGGACGAACGCUGGCGGCGUGCUUAACACAUGCAAGUCGAACGAUGAAGCCUUUCGGGGUGGAUUAGUGGCGAACGGGUGAGUAACACGUGGGCAAUCUGCCCUGUACUUUGGGAUAAGCCUGGGAAACUGGGUCUAAUACCGGAUAUGACUUUUGCAGGCAUCUGUGGAAGUGGAAAGC